GAUUCUUUCUUCCCCGAUUGGAGGAAGAUUUGAAAGAGGGCUCUGGCUGUCUCUUAUAGAUGACCUUGCGGUGGCAUUAGGUAGUUGGUGGGGUAACGGCCUACCAAGACCAUGAUUGCAUAGCCGACCUGAGAGGGUGAUCGGCCACGUUGGGACUGAGACACGGCCCAAACUCCUACGGGAGGCAGCAGUAUGGAAUCUUCCGCAAUGGGCGAAAGCCUGACGGAGCAAUGCCGCGUGAGUGAAGAAGGCCUUCGGGUCGUAAAACUCUGUUAUAAGAGAAGAUUAAAUUGUAGAGUAACUGCUACAGUCUUGACGGUAUCUUAUCAGAAAGCCACGGCUAACUACAUGCCAGCUGCCGCGGUAAUACUAGGUGGCAAGGGUUGUUCGGAUUUAUUGGGCGUAAAGGGAGCGCAGGUGGUUUCUUAAGUCUGAUGUGAAAGCCCACGGCUUAACCGUGGAGGGUCAUUGGAAACUGGGACACUUGAGUACAGA
rnacentral:rRNA from 1 species